UAUUGAUUAUAUUUUUAUUAAUUCUUAUUAAGUGUUUGAUGAUCGUCCUUGAUAAAGAUCAGUUAUAUAAGAGAGAAUAAUUAUUAUAUGCCAUUGUACUAGUAUACAUACUUUAAAGUCAAUAGGUUUUCGCCUCGCCACGUGACUUUUGAUCCCCUUGAAUUUUCGGUUAACAAUCCGAAAGCGAAAGAUAAUGUUUGUAUUCGAUAGUCGUACUCAGCAAACAGCGCGAAUCGCGCCUUUUUUACUGCUGGACAACAGCAAAAAAGAAAAAGACACUGUGCGACAGCUCCGCUUUCAAUUCGGUAGUGCGGAGCGUCAACUUAAUUAUACGGUCGCGCGAGCAAAAGAAAAGGGAUUUUAAAUGAAAUUAAAUCGCGUAUCAGCGUAAAGAACUCACAGAAACGUUCGUGGCGCGUAAAUCGCGUUGCUUUAUCUUUGGAUGAAAGAUAUUAUGCAGGGAACUGGUUUUAUCAACAAUUCAACAUCAGUUGGCGUUAAGCAAUGCUCGAGACGGUCAUGCGUGAAACAUGAAUUAACGGACGUACGAUUGUACGCGUGAUAAUAAUUGCGAGCCGUUAACCAAUCACAGAAUCGUUUAAAUUGCAUUUCAGCAACAAGAAGGGUUAUCUAUUUUUUACAAAUUUUAUUGAAAAAAACUAGUGUUGUUUUUUGUUUAAUUAUUUAUAAAUAAUUAAUCAAAUUCUUGUCAUUCUUCGUUUAUUCAUUUGUGGUUUUAAUAAUUUUCAGAUACUAUGUCCUUGAUGAAUGUCUGCCAUUUUCCUUCCCAGAUAUGUAUCGCUUUCUGUAUCUCAGAGUCAUGCAGAGUACUAUAGACAAGUGAGUUCCAUGCCAAUUGUUUGAGGCUUCUGAGAUCAGCGUGCAUCGACAUGAGUGCCAUAAA